rnacentral:rRNA from 1 species
UACGAAGGGGGCUAGCGUUGCUCGGAAUCACUGGGCGUAAAGGGUGCGUAGGCGGGUCUUUUAAGUCAGGGGUGAAAUCCUGGAGCUCAACUCCAGAACUGCCUUUGAUACUGAAGAUCUUGAGUUCGGGAGAGGUGAGUGGAACUGCGAGUGUAGAGGUGAAAUUCGUAGAUAUUGGGUGGAACACCGGUGGCGAAAGCGGCUCACUGGCCCGGUUCUGACGCUGAGGCGCGAAAGCGUGGGGAGCAAACAGG